GACACAGGUGGCCUAGUGGUUAGAGCGUCCGCCUCGGAUGCGGGAGGUCGUGGGUUCGAUCCCCGGUCGAGUCA